AUUGAACGCUGGCGGCAGGCCUAACACAUGCAAGUCGAGCGAGCGGCGGACGGGUGAGUAAUGUCUGGGAAACUGCCUGAUGGAGGGGGAUAACUACUGGAAACGGUAGCUAAUACCGCAUACCAUCAGAUUUGCCCAGCUGGGAUUAGCUAGUAGGUGGGGUAACGGGUCACCUAGGCGACGAUCCCUAGCUGGUCUGAGAGGAUGACCAGCCAAACUGGAACGGGGAACCGUGCCAGACUCCUACGGGAGGAAGCAGUGGGGAAUAUUGCACAAUGGGCGCAAGCCUGAGGCAGCAAUGCCGCGUGUGUGAAGAAGGCCUUCGGGUUGUAAAGCACUUUCAGCGGGGAGGCGUUACCCGCAGAAGAAGCACCGGCUAACUCCGUGCCAGCAGCCGCGGUAAUUC
rnacentral:rRNA from 1 species